AUGGAGGUCAAUGGCAGACAAAGGAUGUGUUGUCCAUGUCGUAGAUGUGGAGAAAACAAGAAUGAAUCGAUGGAAGCAGAGAACAAGACGCACUCGCAGCCACCGCCGUUAUGGUCAGACCUGCCGCUGUACCUGGCAGGCCUGGUGCUCAGCCUGCUCCCCGCGUACGCCGACCGCGCCCGCUUCGCUGCGGUGUGCCCGCAAUGGCGCGCCGCCGCGAGGCAGAAGCUCCAGACCCCUGCGCUGCCCCUGCUCGCGCUGCCAAACCGCACCUUCUACAGCAUCCCCUAUGAUAAGGCCUUCCGCUUUCCAGGGUGCGGCUUUGCUGGGUACAAGAGCGUCUGUGGCAGCUGGCUUGUCUUCCCCCGCGACGAUGGGUGCUUCCUUGUCAACCCUUUCUCCAGGGCGGUCGUGACGCUCCCUCCUCUCUCGAGCGUCCGACUCCGGCCUCCAAAUGCAGUCGCUAAAUGGUCACUUGAGCACGGGUCAAAAUAUGCCGACCCUUACCCUACAUGGAUGCAUAUCAAUAAGUCAAAGAAGCUGCACGCAAUUAAGCUAAUCCUGUGCUCGUCAAACCUUGUUGCCGCACUGGUCGGCGUUCAACACACUAGUCAGAUCCUAAUCUGCCAGCCAGGGGCCUUGUCGUGGUCGGUACGCGCGUGUGAUGAAUGUAAGGAUUUUGAAGACAUGGCAUUCUACCAGGGCAAGCUCUAUGCCCUUGACGAUGACGAGAACCUCCUUGUGGUGAACAUCAGCAACGACCAAAGCACCGGCGAUCCACAGGUUUCUCGGAUUGGAAGGGUCAUCGAGGGCAAGGCGGAUUUCAGGUUAUACUAUGUUGCGUCUGAAGAGAACGGUUUGCCCGUCAAGAAGCUCUAUCUGGUUCCUGAAAUUAGACCUGGAGGGCCUCGUAAAGCUAUUGCUGGACAAAGCGAGUUUGAGGUAUUUGAGGCUGAUUUUGAGCACUCGCGAUGGAUCAAGGUGUCGACCAUGGGGGAUAACCAGGUGCUGUUUCUGGGUCGAAGGUGCUCCAGGGCUGUGGCCGUGUCUCGGUACGGGUUGUUGGGCAAUCACAUCUUCUUCUUGGACGAUGAUGACGAGUAUCGUGUGGACUACAGUUACGUCGAGGAGAACACAGAAUGCAGUGCCUAUGACAUGCAACUCGGCGACAUCUCUUCUCCUCAUCCAAUGAUUUCCUGGAAGCGCCGCAAGGAGAUGCGUCUGGCAGCAUGGCUAUUCCCCCAGGACUGA
rnacentral:rRNA from 1 species